rnacentral:rRNA from 1 species
GGAUAGGACUAAGACAUGCUAGUUGAGCGCUUCCAGCCAACACGGGAGCGCAACGCACAGCUCAGUAACACGUGGCUAAUCUGCCCUUGGGACCGGAACACCCCCGGGAAACUGGGGCUAAUUCUCGAUAGGUGAAGAACUCUGGAAUGAGUCUUUGCCAAAAAGACGUUUGCGUUAUGCUCGUAGGCGUCGCCCAAGGACGAGGCCGCGACCGAUCAGGUUGUUGGUGAGGUAAUGGCUCACCAARCCUUUUACCGGUGCGGGCCGUGAGAGCGGGAGCCCGGAGAUGGGCACUGAGACAAGGGCCCAGGCCCUACGGGGCGCAGCAGUCGCGAAAACUUUGCAAUACACGAAAGUGUGACAGGGCUAUCCCGAGUGCCAUCCGCUGAGGAAGGCUUUUACCCAGUCUAGAACGCUGGGGGAAUAAGGAGAGGGCAAGUCUGGUGUCAGCCGCCGCGGUAAUACCAGCUCUCCGAGUGGUGUGGAUGUUUAUUGGGCCUAAAGCAUCCGUAGCUGGCUAAGUUAGUCCCUUGUUAAAUCCACCGAAUUAAUCGUUGGAUUGCGGGGGAUACUUGCUUGGCUAGGGGACGAGAGAGGCAGACGGUAUUUCCGGGGUAGGGGUGAAAUCCUAUAAUCCCGGGGAAGACCACCAGUGGCGAAGGCUUGUCUGCUAGAACGCGCCCCGGCGGUGASGGAUGAAAGYUGGGGGAGCGAACCCGGAUUAGAUACCCGGGUAGUCCCAGCUGUAAACGAUGCAGGCUAGGUGUUUGGACGGCCACGUGCCGUCCUAGUGCCGCAGGGAAGCUGUUAAGCCUGCCGCCUGGGGAGUACGAUCGCAAGAUUGAAACUUAAAGGAAUUGGCGGGGGAGCAC